UACAUCUAAGUAUUAUUUGUACAUGGGAUUUUGAUGCCCGAGGAGUUAGUUAAUUCUAGCAGGUGUAG
rnacentral:tRNA from 1 species